ACUGUCUCCUCCCGAGACUCAGUGAAGUUGAAAUGUUUGUGAUGAUGCAAUCUCCCCGCGGCUAGACGGAAAGACCCCAUGAACCUUUACUGCAGCUUUGCAUUGGACUUUGAACCGAUCUGUGUAGGAUAGGCGGGAGGCAGAGAACCGAGGACGCCAGUCUUUGGGGAGCCGACGUUGAAAUACCGCCCUGAUUUGUUUGAGGUUCUAACCGCGGACAGUAAACCUGUUCCGGGACCGUGCAUGGUAGGCAGUUUGACUGGGGCGGUCUCCUCCUAAAGGGUAACGGAGGAGUACAAAGGUACGCUAGGUACGGUCGGAAAUCGUGCUGAUAGUGCAAUGGCGCAAGCGUGCUUGACUGCGAGACCGACAAGUCGAGCAGAUGCGAAAGCAGGUCAUAGUGAUCCGGUGGCACUGAAUGGAAGGGCCAUCGCUCAACGGAUAAAAGGUACUCUGGGGAUAACAGGCUGAUACCGCCCAAGAGUUCAUAUCGACGGCGGUGUUUGGCACCUCGAUGUCGGCUCAUCUCAUCCUGGGGCUGUAGCCGGUCCCAAGGGUAUGGCUGUUCGCCAUUUAAAGAGGUACGUGAGCUGGGUUUAAAACGUCGUGAGACAGUUUGGUCCCUAUCUGCCGCGGGCGCUGGAAGAUUGACGGGGGCUGCUCCUAGUACGAGAGGACCGGAGUGGACGCACCUCUGGUGUACCGGUUGUCACGCCAGUGGCACAGCCGGGUAGCUAUGUGCGGAAGAGAUAACCGCUGAAAGCAUCUAAGCGGGAAACUUGCCUGAAGAUAAGUCUUCCCGGAGGCUAGACCUCCCAGAAGAGUCGUUCGAGACCAGGACGUUGAUAGGUCAGGAGUGCAAGCGCUGUGAGGCGUUGAGCUGACUGAUACUAAUUGCUCGUGAGGCUUGAUCCU
rnacentral:rRNA from 1 species